GGGGAUGUAGAAGAGUUAUCUUCACGUCUGAUUGAUAAUCAGAUGGUCAUGAGUUCAACUCCCAUCCCCG
rnacentral:tRNA from 1 species